GAUGAAGAACGUAGCGAAAUGCGAUAAGUAAUGUGAAUUGCAGAAUUCAGUGAAUCAUCGAAUCUUUGAACGCACAUUGCGCCCGCUGGUAUUCCGGCGGGCAUGCCUGUUCGAGCGUCAUUUCAACCCUCAAGCCCCCGGGUUUGGUGUUGGGGAUCGGCUCUGCCUUCUGGCGGUGCCGCCCCCGAAAUACAUUGGCGGUCUCGCUGCAGCCUCCAUUGCGUAGUAGCUAACACCUCGCAACUGGAACGCGGCGCGGCCAUGCCGUAAAACCCCAACUUCUGAAUGUUGACCUCGGAUCAAGUAGGAAUACCCGCUGAACUUAAGCAUAUCAAUAAGCGGAGGA
rnacentral:misc_RNA from 1 species